rnacentral:rRNA from 1 species
GAUGAACGCUGGCGGCGUGCCUAAUACAUGCAAGUCGAGCGAACAGAUGAGGAGCUUGCUCCUCUGACGUUAGCGGCGGACGGGUGAGUAACACGUGGAUAACCUACCUAUAAGACUGGGAUAACUUCGGGAAACCGGAGCUAAUACCGGAUAAUAUAUUGAACCGCAUGGUUCAAUAGUGAAAGACGGUUUUGCUGUCACUUAUAGAUGGAUCCGCGCCGCAUUAGCUAGUUGGUAAGGUAACGGCUUACCAAGGCAACGAUGCGUAGCCGACCUGAGAGUGUGAUCGGCCACCCUAGAACUGAGACACGGUCCUGACUCCUGCGGGAGGCAGCAGUAGGGAAUCUUCCGCAAUGGGCGAAAGCCUGACGGAGCAACGCCGCGUGAGUGAUGAAGGUCUUCGGAUCGUAAAACUCUGUUAUUAGGGAAGAACAAAUGUGUAAGUAACUAUGCACGUCUUGACGGUACCUAAUCAGAAAGCCACGGCUAACUACGUG